CAGACACUUUGAGAAGGUUUAGCAUGCCAAGGUGAGAUGAUGAUGAUAGACGUACAUAAGUAAUGAAAUGAACAAAUGAAAUUAAACAGUAGUUUGUAUUCA